rfam:Dipodomys ordii contig_45625, whole genome shotgun sequence.
GGUGGCUCAGUGGUGGAGCCCUUGCCUUGCAUGCAUGAGGCCCUGGGUUCGAUCCCCCAGCACCA